rnacentral:rRNA from 1 species
AUUUAAGGUUUAACCUGCCCAUUGAUUAUUAUUUAACGGCCGCAGUAAUUUGACUGUGCAAAGGUAGCAUAAUCAUUAGUUUUUUAAUUGAAAGCUUGUAUGAAUGGUUGGACGAGAUAAAAACUGUCUCUAAAUAAAAAGUAGAAUUUAAUUUUUAAGUUAAAAAGCUUAAAUUUUUUUAAAAGACGAGAAGACCCUAUAGAUCUUUAUAUAAUGAUUUUUAGUAUUAUAAAUGAUUAUUUUAUUAACUAGACUUUCUUAUAUUUUAUUGGGGUAAUAAAAAGAUUAAUAUAAUUCUUUUUUAUUUUACAUUAAUUUAUGAAUAGAUGAUCCAUUUUUAAUGAUUAAAAGAUUAAGUUACCUUAGGGAUAACAGCGUAAUUUUUUUUGAGAGUUCUUAUCGAUAAAAAAGUUUGCGACCUCGAUGUUGGAUUAAAAAUUAUUUUAGGCGUAGAAGUUUAAAAUUUUGGUCUGUUCGACCAUUAAAUUUUUACAUGAUCUGAGUUCAGACCGGUGUAAGCCAGGUCGGUUUCUAUCUUUAUUUAAUUAAAAUAUUUUAGUACGAAAGGACCAAAUAUUACAUAUAUUUAUAUUUUUUUUAUUGAUAAA